rnacentral:rRNA from 1 species
AUGGUUGAGCGUCAACCACAUGUUGAUCUGCUGAGAAGGGCCAUCAUUGAAGCUGGAGGAGAUGCCCAACCGCCGGAAAGUGCAAAGACCAGCCUUCAUGAAACCCUCAAGAACACAUUGAUUGACCACAAGACCUUUUUAGUAAUGGAUGAUGUGUGGAACCAUAGAGCAUGGGAUGACGUGCUGAAAAUACCCUUAGUUAAUGUUGCUGCUUCAGGCAGCCGAGUCCUUGUCACUACCAGAGAUGAAGGUGUUGCCCGAGGGAUGAGAGCUAUAUGGUCGUACCACCAUGUCGACACAUUAGUGCCUGAGGAUGCUUGGUCAUUGCUCAAGAAGCAGGUAUGCUCAACUGAGAUAGAUGAAGAUCACAUCAAUACGCUAAAGGAUAUCGGACUGAAAAUUAUACAGAAAUGUGGUUGUUUACCAAUUGCUAUUAAAGUGAUGGGAGGACUCUUGCGUGAAAGAGGGGGGCUACGUCGUGACUGGCAGCAUGUUUUGGAUGAUUCUAAAUGGUCAACAACUAAAAUGCCCAAUGAUCUCAACCACACAGUAUACUUAAGCUAUGAAUAUAUGCCUUCUUACCUGAAGCAGUGCUUUUUAUACUAUUCUUUUCUUCCUAAAAGUAGAAAUUUUCAUAUGGAGCAAGUCGUGGCAAUGUGGAUAAGCGAAGGAUUUAUUCAUGGAAACUCCGGUGAUUUAGAAGAACUGGGAAGAAAUUACUACAAGGAGUUAGUAUCUAGGAACCUUAUAGAGCCAGAUAAAUCGUAUGUUGAAUUAUCGGUUUGCCACAUGCAUGAUGUUGUUCGUUCAUUUUCUCAGUAUAUGACUAAAGAUGAAGCACUCGUAGCUAAAGACGGAGACAAUGAUAUUAUUGCUAAACUUGGUUCACAAAAGUUUCUUCGGUUGUCCAUAGAAACUAGCGAAUCACAGUCAGUUGAACUUGAUUGGAAAUUACUACAGGUGCAUCAAUCAGCAAGAACAUUGAUCUCAACAAUCCAGAUUAAGAUGAUGCCUGGUGAUUCAUUGGUUACUUUUUCUAGUUUGCGGGCUCUGCAUAUAGAAUCUGCAGAUAUGGUUGUAUUGCUUGAAUCGUUGCAUCAACUCAAGCACCUGAGGUAUCUAGCACUAGUAAAUGCUGAUAUAUCUGUACUUCCGGGGAACAUUGGCCAGAUCAAACUGUUGCAAUUCCUUGACCUUUUUGGAUGUACAAAAUUGGUGAGUCUUCCUCAUAGCAUUGUGAAGCUUGACCAGCUGAGGUUACUUUCACUUCCCCAAGCAAGUAUGGUACCUAGAGGGUUUAGUGGUCUGACAAAUAUGAGGAGACUAAAUAUAUUUCGAGCACACAUGGAUGGUGAUUGGGGUAGUUUGGAUGAGUUGGGGCCUAUUUCUCAACUCAGAGUUCUCGAAUUAACCGAAUUAGAGAAUGUAUCUGCUGCCUCAUUUGCUGCUAACGCUAGGAUCGGUGAGAAGAUGCACCUUAUCAGGCUAUACCUAAACUGCACUAGUAAACUGGGAGAUGAUGGGUUAGUCAAUGAGAAGGAAAGUGUCUCUGAGGAAGAGCAGCAACGAAUUGAAAAGGUUUUCGAUAAGCUCUGCCCUCCACAUGGUGUAGAAUAUCUUCAUAUCUACGGGUAUUUUGCCCGGCAACUUCCGAGAUGGAUGAUGUCCACAUCAAUGGUGCCCCUUGACAACUUGAAGACUAUAUUUUUUUAUGAUCUUGCUUGUUGCACACAACUUCCCAAUGGGCUCUGCCAGCUGCCCAGUCUGCACUUUCUACAGGUCUCUCGUGCUCCAUGCAUCAAACAUGUAGGGACUGAAUUCAUGCAGGUGGGGGCAGCCUCAUUUCCAAGGUUAAACAAAUUGAUCUUCAUCGGAAUGGUGGAAUGGGAGGAGUGGGAGUGGGAGGAGCGAGUACAAGCCAUGCCUCGCUUGGAGGAGCUUGUGCUCAAUAAAUGCAGACUGAGGCAUGUUCCUCCAGGCCUUGCCUCCAAUGCAAUCUCUUUGAAAAUAUUAUGUCUAGAACAUGUCAAGAACCUUAGCUACAUUGAGAGAUUUCCUUCUGUGGUUGAGCUUACAGUUAAUGACUGCCCCAACCUGAAGAGGAUCACCAAUCUCCCAAAUGUGCAGAAGGUUGCCAUCAUGAACUGCCCAAAGUUGAAGGUGCUAGAGUGUACCGCUUCCCUCGAGAGGCUAGUCCUGAAGGAUUACACCAUCGAAAAACUUCCAGAAUACAUGUGA